CACCAGACUUGCCCUCCAAUUGUUCCUCGUUAAGAGAUUUGAAUUGUACUCAUUCCAAUUACAAGACCCAAAAGAGCCCUGUAUCAGUAUUUAUUGUCACUACCUCCCCGUGUCGGGAUUGGGUAAUUUGCGCGC
rnacentral:rRNA from 1 species